UCCAAAGUCAAUGGGCACCAGCUGCAAGCCAUUUUCUGUUAUCCUCUCGACAAAAUGCGUCUCACACGAAGUAUUGGCUAGACCACAGAGAUUGUGCUUGAUACUGCUCUGGCAGCAGAGCAGGCUGUUGAUUUCCUCGCGGAAGUUGCUGUUCAGAAUACACCUUCAGAUUCUCUGGCAGAUUAAGCUCUUGCCAUUUCUUCACAUUUGCCGCCUCAGCCGGUACCAUUGGAG
rnacentral:misc_RNA from 1 species